AAAAAUGUGCCUAACUACUGAAUUCUAGAGAUCGUACUUAUUAACUAAGUCACUGCAACCAUUUCACUUAAAACUUUGUUUUUAGCACCACUGUUGGAUAUCAUAAGGCAUUUUAUAUGUUUUCAAUAGCAGAUUUUAAUUAUUCGAUGUCAUAUGAGUUCGUGGAGAACCUUGGAGAGCUAGAAAAAUGGAUAAAACUGAAGAUCACAGCCAUUUUGGAUUAAAAUUAUGGAUGAAAAGUGUUUGACCAAUGUUUAGGGUACAGUAUCAUUUUUAAGCCAUUAUUCAUACUUUAGUGAGUGAAAUGUUGCGUAGGGGAAAAACACCUUCAUAAUUAUUAUGGCUUUUUAUCAUUUAUAAUACAGUUAAUAUGUACAGCAGACUUAAGAAUAACAACGAGGAAAGUGGUGCCAUUUCGUGAAACCUAAGGAUCUUUAAUUUAUCUUCUGCUCAACUUCCCGCAUGGAUAGUUCUCCGAAUGCUGCCAUUUAGCAAAACGUUUUACCGCCCAAUCGGGGUAGUGGUUAAUGACGCUGACUUCCGUACCGAAGCGCCUGAGUUCGAGUAAAGGAGAAGGCAUGGAUCUUUGUAAAUGUACAGUGUCUGUGUGACAUGGGGGGCACUCUAAAUAUGCUGCGAGCCGAAAGUCCUUUCAAGAGGUUGGUGGUAAUGGAAGAGUGAUGGGUUACCUUCAUAUCCGUCCCCUGGAGCGCUGUCCUUCAAAAUUACUGACAGAAAUGAGCAAAGUCGUACUGUCACUUGUAUAGUGCCCAAGGUUCUUGCCAACGAUAGACGCAAACUUACCUCCUUGCUGCGAUGAAUUUCUAUUCUUGCUCUGAUAUCAGACGAGUGAGGUGAGUCACAACAACAACAAUUUUCAGGUGUGCUUAAAAAUGCCUUACGAAGGAUUUGUUAAGUUCAAGAAUUUAGGUUAUGGGAAUAUGGCGGAACAGGCAAGGGCUUUCUGCCUAAAAAGAGGGAUGCCUUCGAGGAAAGCUUUAGAAGCAGAACUGGCUCGCACGUAUUCACGUUACAGAUGGAGAACCCCAAGCCAUACAGCCACUCCGUUCUCCUGGAAUCGAAUCCAAGUUAAACUCCCAGUAUUCAGAGGUCUUACCACUCUGCCACUGGUGGGGCAGACAAGAUUACCACAGAGGCAAGUGGUGGAAACCAAGCAAAUGUAUACUGAAACGUAUUGCCCGCCUCACCAGUAAGAGUCGAAUAAAAACAACAGCUAGCUGAAAGCUUCUGUUAGCAGGUUUAUUUUUAGGUUUGGUCACCAGUUUGCAGAUAACAAAAUGUUUGAUAUUUUUUAACCAAAUUUGUACAAUCUGUUAAUGCAUGAAUAAAUUUUAAGUAAUUACUUUUUUUCAA